GUCCACGCCCUAAACGAUGCGAACUAGGUGUUGGGGAAGGAGACUUUCUUAGUACCGCAGCUAACGCGUGAAGUUCGCCGCCUGGGGAGUACGGUCGCAAGAUUAAAACUCAAAGGAAUUGACGGGGACCCGCACAAGCGGUGGAUGAUGUGGAUUAAUUCGAUGCAACGCGAAAAACCUUACCUACCCUUGACAUGUCAGGAAUUCUGCUGAGAGGUGGAAGUGCUCGAAAGAGAACCUGAACACAGGUGCUGCAUGGCUGUCGU
rnacentral:rRNA from 1 species